UGGGGGCUUGAUGACGGUGGCACGGCUAUAGGUUUUUUUAAGGUUUUAAGUAAAAUUUGGAGUCCAAGUAAAAAUACUUGGGUUGACUAGGUAGACGAUAAGACCCUAAAAGCUUUACUCAAUAAGGAUUUUAGAUUUAAAAUAUUUUAUAAAUUGUGUAUGAGUUUUACUGGGGUAGUGUAUGUAUUAGGUUAUGUGUUUAUAGACUUUAGGGUAAUUGAACCUUAAUAUUAAGGUUUGUUUAAGUUACUUUAGGGAUAACAGCAUAAUAGUUUUGGGGAGUUCUAAUCUAUAAAAUUGUUUGUGACCUCGAUGUUGAAUUAAUAUGUCUUUGUGAAGCAGUAUUUAUGAGAGAAAGUUUGUUCAACUUUUAAUAUAUUACAUGAUUU
rnacentral:rRNA from 1 species